CACAUAGUAUAGACGAAGUAAAGUCAUGCAGGAUUGGUAUUAGCAGAGUAUAGAUGGUGUAAAGUUAUGUUGAUUUGAUGUUCACAUAGUAUAGACGAAGUAAAGUUAUGCUGGUUCAGAAAGCAAAUAAUAUAGAGGAUGUAAAGUCAUGCUGGUUUGGUAUUCGCAUGGUAUAGAGGUUCAGAACGCACAUAGUAUAGACGGUGUAAAGCAAUGCAGGUUCUGGACUACAAUAGACGAUGUAAACAGAGUCACGCAGGUUUAGUAAAUGCAUAAGCAGUUACGUUGCAGCCCAAACAGUUUACUUAAGCACACGCAGACACCGACUUGUAACACCUACACCGCCUUAUAAGUUAGCUCCGGGCAGCAAGUUGUGAGCAAGGGAGAUAAUUAAAACGUCAGCCGUGAAGAAUAGGUCAGCGUAACGGUGAGUCAUUCCUGCAUAAACAGUUCCUUCGCAGCACACACAAACACACUACCACAGACAUUUUCUUGUUUUAAUACUUUUUUAAUUAGGAACAUUAUUUAAUACCUUUUUUUAAGCGGGUAUGGCGACUUAAGAUGUAUGGUUAAAAUAAACGGCAUUCGAAAUAUUAACACCUCCCGAAAUUGACCCCUCUUUCGGCCACCUCUUUGGAUUCUUUUUAGGAGCAGCGAGUAGCGGGCUUUUUUUAUUAUUAUUUCCUUGUUUUGUGCCCUUGAGCUGUCUCCUUAGUUGUAAAAAAAAAUUGUUCGUAAAAUUAAUAACGUACUACCAAAUGAUAAAAAGCGCGCAAGCAUUCACUUUUUUUUCCUCUCCUCAUCAAGAAAGUCAUUACACGCGUAUUUUCUAAUGAGUUCAGAGGUGGUAUGAUGGUGUAGUACUGGUGUGACAUCGGUAGUGGUGGUGGUGGUAGAGAUAACCACUCAAAUGACCACCAUCACCACCACUAACACCAAUAACACAAGUAGCAUUCAACACCUCACCACAACAAACUCAUCCUUACAACCAAUAACGUGACAACUGAUAGAAACACUCAAUCAUUCAUUCUUCCUACGUUUCCUUAGCAAAUACAAACGCUACACACGUUUUUCUACUGAGUUUAAGUUUGGUUUAUAAGACACUUUCGCUUCUCAUAUCAGCUGUUUCUAAAGGUCAAAGAGGGGGUCAGUCGGGUUCUAAUGAGUGUUUCUUCAGGUUCAGGUUACAGCAGAAGGGUCAAACUACCACCAGGGUUAUAAAACUACUCCUGGAAAUGCCCACAACCCCUACGAAAGCUUCUAAUGUAAUCCUACGAAAGCCUUGUCAAAUAUGCGUUCUUGGGUCACGAAAUGUCUUAAAAUACAUCCCUAAGAGACGAGACACUUAACACUUGUACCCACUUUUCAUCCCAUCACACAGGAAGUUAGGAAAAAAUUAAAUUCCGUCACAGCAAGUUCAGAAAGGGUUAAAUCCCGUCACAGCAAGUUCGGAAAAGGUUAAAUCCCGUCACAACAAGUUCAGAAAAGGUUAAAUUCCAUCCCAGCAAGUUCAGAAAAGGUUAAAUCCCAUCACAGGAAGUUCAGAAAAGGUUAAAUUCCAUCCCAGCAAGUUCAGAAAAGGUUAAAUCCCGUCACAGCAAGUUCAGAAAAGGUUAAAUCCCAUCACAGCAAGUUCAGAAAAGGUUAAAUCCCGUCACAGCAAGUUCAGAAAAGGUUAAAUCCCGUCACAGCAAGUUCAGAAAAGGUUAAAUCCCGUCACAGCAAGUUCAGAAAAGGUUAAAUCCCGUCACAGCAAGUUCGGAAAAGGUUAAAUCCCAUCCCAGCAAGUUCUGAAAAGGUUAAAUCCCAUCCCAGCAAGUUCAGAAAAGGUUAAAUCCCAUCCCAGCAAGUUCAGAAAAGGUUAAAUCCCAUCCCAGCAAGUUCAGA